CCUACGGGUGGCUGCAGUGAGGAAUAUUGGUCAAUGGACGAGAGUCUGAACCAGCCAAGUCGCGUGAAGGAUGACUGCCCUAUGGGUUGUAAACUUCUUUUAUAUGGGAAUAAAAUGUUCCACGUGUGGGGUUUUGUAUGUACCAUAUGAAUAAGGAUCGGCUAACUCCGUGCCAGCAGCCGCGGUAAUACGGAGGAUCCGAGCGUUGUCCGGAUUUAUUGGGUUUAAAGGGAGCGUAGGUGGGUUGUUAAGUCAGUUGUGAAAGUGUGCGGCUCAACCGGAAAAUUGCAGUUGAAACUGGCAGUCUUGAGUACAGUAGAGGUGGGCGGAAUUCGUGGUGUAGCGGUGAAAUGCUUAGAUAUCACGAAGAACUCCGAUGGCGAAGGCAGUUCACUGGACUGCAACUGACACUGAGGCUCGAAAGUAUGGGUAGCAAACAGGAUUAGAUACCCCUGUAGUC
rnacentral:rRNA from 1 species